rnacentral:lncRNA from 1 species
GGGGGAGCCGGGGGUCGGGGCCGGGGAGCGGUGGAACUUCUCAGAAAAAUAGGUGCCCGUCCACGGAGCCUUGGCGCACUCCCGCUCCGCUCUUUGGCUCUGGGAGUCCAGUCUCCUGAAACCGAGGUGUGGGUUACAUUUCUGUGGGUGCACCCAUUGCCAUGAGUGCGGCUGCUUAAUGCUUCUGUCAUUGGAAGUCUGGUCUCCAAACCACUGCCUCAAGCCAGCAUGACUCCAGCUGCCUGGAAUUCCAUUCAUCUCUUAGAGCUGGAUGUCAGCGGCCACACUUCCCCUGCUGUGAUCCUGCGCUAUCAGGCUGGCUGGGACCCACGACGCAGGAAUGUCAACCCCGUGGGCAUGAUGGAGGCCAUGGAAGUGGAAGAUCUUGUUCUGUUUGGAAUGGUGAGGAUUGAAUGACUCCACUUUCUUUAUGGCAAACAGUUGCUUUAUAUAAUAAAUGCAAUUAACCCCAAAGGAGGAAAUAUUAAAUAAUAUCUUU